UUCAAUUGCACAGAUCAACAAACAUCAAAAUAAGAUGGAAAAUAAUCGCGGGCAACAGUCAAGGGAUCUGCAAAGGGAAAGACGAACUCAAAAUGCAAGAAAUCCGAGGCAAAAUAUGAGCACCGAGCAAAGAGAACAAGAAUUGUCUAGAAGGCGAACAAAUUAUAGACAAUAAAAAAAAAGGGGGAAAACAACCUCAGACAACAAGUGAAACAAACAGAGAUCACAUGAUGCCAUGUAAUGAUUUGACAAAUUUAAAUUUCACAUCGUCACGUGUUCAAGGAACACAUGACAAUGAGGCUGGAACAAGUAGUCGUCGACGAAUCAAUCACACCACAUCUGAUAUUUUCAAGGAACUCAUGACAAUGAAGCGGAACCAAGUAGAAUAAAUAGUGAUGACACACUACAAGUGAGACUCCAACAUUAAAUGUCUUCUCCGACACCACACCUAAUGACGCAACAUCGUAUUACAAUCAAGUUUUUCGAAAGACAAGAAAUUAUCGAUAAAGGGGUGUACGAAGAAUUAGCUGCAAUUCUUAAAAGGGAAAUGAGACAUGCUUCUGAUUCUAAUUUCAUGUUUGGCCUUCCCAUCAAAUUCCAUCAAUGACGACAAAUAAAAUAUUAGUGAUGAUAAAAGUACAAUGUUAUUAUUAAUGCUUCUGAAUUUAUGAUGUUGAAUAUGAUUUCAAAUAUAGUUUUCAUUUCAUCUAUGUUUUAAUAUAUGUUUAUAUUAAU